rnacentral:rRNA from 1 species
GAUGAACGCUGGCGGCGUGCCUAAUACAUGCAAGUCGAGCGAACAGACGAGGAGCUUGCUCCUCUGACGUUAGCGGCGGACGGGUGAGUAACACGUGGAUAACCUACCUAUAAGACUGGGAUAACUUCGGGAAACCGGAGCUAAUACCGGAUAAUAUAUUGAACCGCAUGGUUCAAUAGUGAAAGACGGUUUUGCUGUCACUUAUAGAUGGAUCCGCGCCGCAUUAGCUAGUUGGUAAGGUAACGGCUUACCAAGGCAACGAUGCGUAGCCGACCUGAGAGGGUGGUCGGCCACACUGGAACUGAGACACGGUCCAGACUCCUACGGGAGGCAGCAGUAGGGAAUCUUCCGCAAUGGGCGAAAGCCUGACGGAGCAACGCCGCGUGAGUGAUGAAGGUCUUCGGAUCGUAAAACUCUGUUAUUGGGGAAGAACAAAUGUGUAAGUAACUAUGCACGUCUUGACGGUACCUAAUCAGAAAGCCACGGCUAACUACGUG